AGUGAGAACAGCCCUGGUAGGGCGGGAGCAGUCGCGGAAGGUGGAAGCAGCCUGGGAAGCAAUCCGCUUCGGGGAAGCCGUGGAGCGGCUCAGAAAGGACGAGGAAGCCACGAGCCCACACCCAUCAGGAGAUGAUUCUAGAUGAAGGAGGCACUGCAGGGAAGGAGGGGGAAUGUGACCUCCAAGUUUAGACAGAGCCUAUGUG